rnacentral:rRNA from 1 species
AUUGAACGCUGGCGGCAGGCCUAACACAUGCAAGUCGAACGAGUGGCGGACGGGUGAGGAAUGUCUGGGAAACUGCCUGAUGGAGGGGGAUAACUACUGAAAACGGUAGCUAAUACCGCAUACCAUCGGAUGUGCCCAGAGGGGAUUGGCUUGUUGGUGGGGUAACGGCUCACCUAGGCGACGAUCCCUAGCUGGUCUGAGAGGAUGACCAGCGACACUGGAACUGAGACACGGUCCACACUCCUACGGGAGGCAGGAGUGGGGAAUAUUGCACAAUGGGCGCAAGCCGGAUGCAGCCAUGCCGCGUGUAUGGAGAAGGCCGUAGGGUUGUGAAGUACUUUCAGCGGGGAGGCGUUACCCGCAGAAGAAGCACCGGCUAACUCCGUGCCAGCAGCCGCGGUAAUUC